rnacentral:rRNA from 1 species
GUGGGGAAUAUUGGACAAUGGGGGAAACCCUGAUCCAGCGACGCCGCGUGGGUGAAGAAGGCCUGCGGGUUGUAAAGCCCUUUCGGUAGGGACGAAAGCUCUCGACCUAACACGUCGGGAGGUUGACUUAACCUACAAAAGAAGCACCGGCUAACUCUGUGCCAGCAGCCGCGGUAAUACAGAGGGUGCGAGCGUUAAUCGGAAUUACUGGGCGUAAAGCGCACGUAGGCGGCUUGGUAUGUCGGGUGUGAAAUCCCCGGGCUCAACCUGGGAACUGCAUCCGAAACUGCCUUGCUCGAGUAUGGGAGAGGGAAGUGGAAUUUCCGGUGUAGCGGUGAAAUGCGUAGAUAUCGGAAGGAACAUCAGUGGCGAAGGCGACUUCCUGGACCAAUACUGACGCUCAGGUGCGAAAGCGUGGGGAGCAAACAGGAUUAGAAACCCCAGUAGUCC